GUUGGCCGCCUUUUAUUCCAUCAGCCAAUAGUGGGCCAUGUACAAUCACCUUGGCAAACUUGUGCAAGCAGUAGUGGCAGCACUGCAUCUCCAUUGUGUACAGAACAGUUUUCAUCAGCAAAAUUCUAUGACAUAGUAAAAACUCUGAGAUACAGAAUUAGAUUAAAAAAAAAAAACCUUGAUAGAGUGAAGCUGCAAUAAGUGGGCUGCAAUAUAGUGAGAGACAUCUGUGAGUGAUUUGUCCAAGGUCCCACAGCUAGGGUGCUAGGCCUUGAUUCUAAGAGAUAAACUUUGCCCUCUCUUUGGAACCUCUUCAUUCUUCCAAGAAUAUCUGAAAUGAAGAGUAGUAGAUGGUGGAACCAAGAUGGCAAAUUAGAAGCAGUAAAAGUUCAAACCACCAUAAGAAUCAUCUCCAACCAACCUUAAAAUAAUGACUCAAAAUUAAUACUGGAGUGAAAGAAUCAACAAGGAGAUGGAGUGAAGCAACUUUCAUGCAGAGAACAACUUGAAAGGUUUCCUAUGCAUUGCUCAUUCCAGGUGUAAUUCUUCCUCAUGGGGAGUAAUGUCUAAAGAAUAAGAGCAGCUGAGUGACCAGAAGAAAACUGUGCUCCUAUCUUACUAAACACAUCUUUUAAGUACUCCAGAGGAAUUUGGACCCUUAAUUGUAGUUCAUUAAGCUCCAGGCAAUAUAACUAACUCUCCGAUUCUCUGAUGCCCUAGGAUCAUAGGAUUUAUCUAUAAUGUAGAAAAGGAUAGGGAAGAAGAGAAGACAUUAUUUUAGAGACCUCCCUCCAGGUUAAAAUCAAUCUCCUAAUCAGUACUUAGGAUGAUAGGAUUUAUAACCAGAAGGAAUCUUAGUUUAACUCCAUCAUUUUGUAUUUGAGGAAAUCACAGCACAGGAAGGGGUGCAACUUGCUAAAAAUCAAAGUCAAUAGCAGAGUCAGAUCCUCUGGUUCCAAACCUAGUAUUCUCGCUACUACAUUAUCCUCAGAACUUUAUUUUCUUGCAUUUACUGCUUUCCAAGCCCCUCCCCCAAAAUAACCCUAAAGACAAAUUACCAUCCAUAUGGCAGGGGAAUUUCUCUGCUCCCAAUUCAAGUUCCCUUGUGAUUUCUGGUAAACUCCUUUUCUAACCAAAAAUGUCUGCCUCGUUACUGGGUUAGUCCAUUUCUUUAAUCCUUAUACUGUUUCCCUUUGGCUUUGUGGGCUCAGCCUACAGUUCUGAACCAGGCCAAAACAAUAUUCUUGCAGCCGAGAAGACUAAUAUCUCCAGCUGCUUCCAGCUGCCUCAGUUUUGAACUUCUUUACUCUUCCCUUACCUACCUUCUGGUCUCUCUGGCAAGACUCCCACCCUUCCUCCAUUCUUCCCAUCUAUUGCUCAGCUGGUCUAUUAGCCUUGCUAAAUACCAGGGUCCCACAUGCCCUGCUAACCAAUCCUUAAGAUCAUCAUUUAAUCCCCUCCUGAAAAUUUCAAUCAGCCCUGCCUCCUCCCAGCCAAGAACAACUCAUAGCCUCUGAAACUCCUUAAUAUAUUCAAUUAACAGCCUAGUACCUUGCCUUAAUCUCAACAUUAGCAUCCUUCUCUCCCUGCUUAUAUACUAAAACCCACCAGGAAC